ACUAGUUUAGCAAAUAAAUUGUAUUAUAUUUAGAAUAUAAAGAAGAAGAAAAAUCAAUUAGUA
rnacentral:tRNA from 1 species